GGGUGGGCGGCAGCUACACAUGCAGUCGAACGGUAGCACAGAGAGCUUGCUCUCGGGUGACGAGUGGCGGACGGGUGAGUAAUGUCUGGGAAACUGCCUGAUGGAGGGGGAUAACUACUGGAAACGGUAGCUAAUACCGCAUAACGUCGCAAGACCAAAGAGGGGGACCUUCGGGCCUCUUGCCAUCAGAUGUGCCCAGAUGGGAUUAGCUAGUAGGUGGGGUAACGGCUCACCUAGGCGACGAUCCCUAGCUGGUCUGAGAGGAUGACCAGCCACACUGGAACUGAGACACGGUCCAGACUCCUACGGGAGGCAGCAGUGGGGAAUAUUGCACAAUGGGCGCAAGCCUGAUGCAGCCAUGCCGCGUGUAUGAAGAAGGCCUUCGGGUUGUAAAGUACUUUCAGCGGGGAGGAAGGUGUUGUGGUUAAUAACCGCAGCAAUUGACGUUACCCGCAGAAGAAGCACCGGCUAACUCCGUGCCAGCAGCCGCGGUAAUACGGAGGGUGCAAGCGUUAAUCGGAAUUACUGGGCGUAAAGCGCACGCAGGCGGUCUGUCAAGUCGGAUGUGAAAUCCCCGGGCUCAACCUGGGAACUGCAUUCGAAACUGGCAGGCUGGAGUCUUGUAGAGGGGGGUAGAAUUCCAGGUGUAGCGGUGAAAUGCGUAGAGAUCUGGAGGAAUACCGGUGGCGAAGGCGGCCCC
rnacentral:rRNA from 1 species